CUACGGGGUGCUCCAGUAGGGAAUCUUCCACAAUGGGCGAAAGCCUGAUGGAGCAACGCCGCGUGAGUGAAGAAGGUUUUCGGAUCGUAAAACUCUGUUGUAAGGGAAGAACAAGUACAGUAGUAACUGGCUGUACCUUGACGGUACCUUAUUAGAAAGCCACGGCUAACUACGUGCCAGCAGCCGCGGUAAUACGUAGGUGGCAAGCGUUGUCCGGAAUUAUUGGGCGUAAAGCGCGCGCAGGCGGUCCUUUAAGUCUGAUGUGAAAGCCCACGGCUCAACCGUGGAGGGUCAUUGGAAACUGGGGGACUUUAGUGCAGAAGAGGAAAGUGGAAUUCCAAGUGUAGCGGUGAAAUGCGUAGAGAUUUGGAGGAACACCAGUGGCGAAGGCGACUUUCUGGUCUGUAACUGACGCUGAGGCGCGAAAGCGUGGGGAGCAAACAGGAUUAGAUCCCCCUGUAGUC
rnacentral:rRNA from 1 species